rnacentral:rRNA from 1 species
AUACGUAGGUGGCAAGCGUUGUCCGGAAUUAUUGGGCGUAAAGCGCAUGUAGGCGGUUUGGUAAGUCGGUCGUGAAAAUGCGGGGCUUAACGCCGUAUGGCGAUCGAAACUGCUGAACUUGAGUGCAGGAGAGGAAAGGGGAACUCCCAGUGUAGCGGUGAAAUGCGUAGAGAUUGGGAGGAACACCAGUGGCGAAGGCGACUUACUGGACUGUAACUGACGCUGAGGCGCGAAAGUGUGGGGAGCAAACAGGAUUAGAUACCCUGGUAGUCCACACUGUAAACGAUGAAUGCUAGGUGUAGGGGGUAUCGACCCCUUCUGUGCCGCAGUCAACACAAUAAGCAUUCCGCCUGGGGAGUACGGCCGCAAGGUUGAAACUCAAAUGAAUUGGCGGGG